UCACCAUUGGGUAAACAUGGCACCCUUACAAAACACUGACUUUGGUUCUCAAUACAGUAAGUGCUUUUUGUUGAGGUAGUUUUGCUGA
rnacentral:pre_miRNA from 1 species